GGUUGAUCCUGCCAGUAGUCAUAUGCUUGUCUCAAAGAUUAAGCCAUGCAUGUCUAAGUAUAAACACCUUUAUACUGUGAAACUGCGUACAGCUCAUUAAAUCAGUGAUUAUUUCUUUGAUGGUACCUUACUACAUGGAUACCUGUAGUAAUUCUAGAGCUAAUACAUGCGUAAAGUCUCGACUCGCAAGGGAAGGGAUGUAUUUAUUAGAUAAAAAACCAAUGCGGGUUCUGCCCGGUUUUAUUGGUGACUCAUAGUAACUGUUCGAAGCGCAUGACCUUGUGUCGGCGCU
rnacentral:rRNA from 1 species